rnacentral:rRNA from 1 species
CUGGCGACCGGCGGACGGGUGCGUAACGCGUAUGUAACCUACCUUUGACAGGGGGAUAACAUCGAGAAAUUGGUACUAAUACCCCAUAACAUCACCGGAGGCAUCUUCGGUGGUUGAAAACUCAGGUGGUCAGAGAUGGACAUGCGUUGUAUUAGCUAGUUGGUGAGGUAACGGCUCACCAAGGCGACGAUACAUAGGGGGACUGAGAGGUCAACCCCCCACAUUGGUACUGAGACACGGACCAAACUCCUACGGAAGGCAGCAG